rnacentral:rRNA from 1 species
UUCCAGGCCCUACGGGGCGCAGCAGGCGCGAAACCUUUACACUGCACGACAGUGCGAUAAGGCAACUCCAAGUGUGCAGGCAUAGUGCCUGCACUUUUCAGCACCGUAAGGAGGUGCUGGAAGAAGGACUGGGCAAGACCGGUGCCAGCCGCCGCGGUAAUACCGGCAGUCCGAGUGAUGGCCGAUCUUAUUGGGCCUAAAGCGUCCGUAGCCGGCCCGUGCAAGUCCGUUGGGAAAUCCGCGCGCUCAACGCGCGGGCGACCAGCGGAAACUGCACGGCUUGGGACCGGAAGGCUCGAGGAGUACGUCCGGGGUAGGAGUGAAAUCCUGUAAUCCUGGACGGACUACCGAUGGCGAAAGCACCUCGAGAAGACGGAUCCGACGGUGAGGGACGAAAGCUAGGGUCUCGAACCGGAUUAGAUACCCGGGUAGUCCUAGCCGUAAACGAUGCCCGUUAGGUGUGGCACAGGCUACGAGCCUGUGCUGUGCCGUAGUGAAGACGAUUAACGGGCCGCCUGGGAAGUACGUCCGCAAGGAUGAAACUUAAAGGAAUUGGCGGGGGAGCACUACAACCGGAGGAGCCUGCGGUUUAAUUGGACUCAACGCCGGACAUCUCACCAGAACCGACUGUAAUGAUGACGGUCAGGUUGACGACCUUACCCGACGCUACAGAGAGGAGGUGCAUGGCCGCCGUCAGCUCGUACCGUGAGGCGUCCUGUUAAGUAAGGCAACGAGCGAGACCCGCAUGCUUAAUUGCCAGCAGCACGCUCGUCGUGGCUGGGUACAUUAAGCAGACUGCCGUCGCCAAGACGGAGGAAGGAACGGGCAACGGUAGGUCAGUAUGCCCCGAAUGUUCUGGGCAACACACGGGCUACAAUGGCCCGAGACAAUGGGACGCAACCCCGAGAGGGGGCGCUAAUCUCCUAAACUCGGUCGUAGUUCGGAUUGAGGGCUGAAACUCGCCCUCACGAAGCUGGAUUCGGUAGUAAUCGCGUGUCAGAAGCGCGCGGUGAAUACGUCCCUGCUCCUUGCACACACCGCCCGUCAAAGCACCCGAGUGGGGUCCGGAUGAGGCCGCGGCAACGCGGUCGAAUCUGGGCUCCGCAAGGGGGCUUAAGUCGUAACAAGGUAACCAAGGGCGAAUUCUGC